rnacentral:rRNA from 1 species
CACGGAGGAUGCGAGCGUUAUCCGGAUUUAUUAGGUUUAAAGGGUGCGUAGGCGGAUUUUUAAGUCAGCGGUAAAAUGUCCGGGCUCAACCCGGGCCGGCCGUUGAAACUGGGGAUCUUGAGUGGGCGAGAAGUAUGCGGAAUGCGUGGUGUAGCGGUGAAAUGCAUAGAUAUCACGCAGAACUCCGAUUGCGAAGGCAGCAUACCGGCGCCCGACUGACGCUGAGGCACGAAAGCGUGGGGAUCGAACAGG